rnacentral:rRNA from 1 species
ACUCGACUCCUACGGGAGGCAGCAGUGGGGAAUAUUGGACAAUGGGCGCAAGCCUGAUCCAGCCAUGCCGCGUGCAGGAAGACUGCCCUAUGGGUUGUAAACUGCUUUAUACGGGAAGAAACACUCCCUCGUGAGGGAGCUUGACGGUACCGUAAGAAUAAGGAUCGGCUAACUCCGUGCCAGCAGCCGCGGUAAUACGGAGGAUCCAAGCGUUAUCCGGAAUCAUUGGGUUUAAAGGGUCCGUAGGUGGAUAAUUAAGUCAGAGGUGAAAUCCUGCAGCUCAACUGUAGAAUUGCCUUUGAUACUGGUUAUCUUGAGUCAUUAUGAAGUGGUUAGAAUAUGUAGUGUAGCGGUGAAAUGCAUAGAUAUUACAUAGAAUACCAAUUGCGAAGGCAGAUCACUAAUAAUGUACUGACACUGAUGGACGAAAGCGUGGGGAGCGAACAGGAUUAGAUACCCUGGUAG